AAAUUGAAGAGUUUGAUCAUGGCUCAGAUUGAACGCUGGCGGCAGGCCUAACACAUGCAAGUCGAACGGUAACAGAAAGCAGCUUGCUGCUUUGCUGACGAGUGGCGGACGGGUGAGUAAUGUCUGGGAAACUGCCCGAUGGAGGGGGAUAACUA
rnacentral:rRNA from 1 species